CUUUACUAUAGCUUUGCAUUGAUAUUAAAAAAUAAAUAUGUAGGAUAGGUGGGAGACUAUGAAGUUGCAACGCUAGUUGUAGCAGAGUCGUCAGUGAAAUACCACUUUUUUAUUUUUUAAUGUCUAACUAGAUCUUGUUUAGCAAGAUUAAGACAGUGCAUGGUGGGUAGUUUGACUGGGGCGGUCGCCUCCCAAAGUGUAACGGAGGCGUACAAAGGUAGGCUCAGCUGGAUCGGAAACCCAGCUUUUGAGUGCAAUGGCAUAAGCCUGCUUGACUGAAACACUGACAAGUGGAACAGAGACGAAAGUCGGUCAUAGUGACCCGGUGGUACCGCGUGGAAGGGCCAUCGAUCAACGGAUAAAAGGUA
rnacentral:rRNA from 1 species